AUCGUCGUCCCUCUCAUCCUUUGUGGAUAUUGGACGGAAGCUGGUCUCCCGUGUGUUACCGCAUGCGGUUGGCCAAAAUCCGAGUUAAGGACGCCGAGAGUGUCACGACAUGCGGUGGUAAAAAAAGCCUCAACGUAUCGUCGGUCGCUCUUGUCCGGAAGCUCUCGAUGACCCAAAGUCCUC
rnacentral:misc_RNA from 1 species